GUCCACGCCGUAAACGUUGGGCGCUAGGUGUGGGGAACCUUCCACGUUCUCCGUGCCGCAGCUAACGCAUUAAGCGCCCCGCCUGGGGAGUACGGCAGCAAGGCUAAAACUCAAAGGAAUUGACGGGGGCCCGCACAAGCGGCGGAGCAUGUGGCUUAAUUAGACGCAACGCGAAGAACCUUACCAAGGCUUGACAUAUACCGAAAACUCAUAGAGAUAUGGGGUCCGCAAGGGCGGUAUACAGGUGGUGCAUGGUUGUCGU
rnacentral:rRNA from 1 species